rnacentral:rRNA from 1 species
UACGAAGGGUGCAAACGUUGCUCGGAAUCAUUGGGCGUAAAGCGCACGUAGGCGGCUACAAAAGUCGGAUGUGAAAUCCCUCGGCUCAACCGAGGACGUGCAUCCGAAACUGUGAGGCUUGAGUACUGAAGAGGAUCGCGGAAUUCCCGGUGUAGAGGUGAAAUUCGUAGAUAUCGGGAGGAACACCAGUGGCGAAGGCGGCGAUCUGGGCAGAUACUGACGCUGAGGUGCGAAACGUGGGAGCAACAGGG